ACAAAACAGAAUAAAAUAAAAUUAUACCCAUUACAUCUUAAACAUAUCCAUAAUGAAUAAUGCAAUUUUUUACUUCAAUAAAUAAAACAACUAUACUUUGUGGAAUACGUUGAGACUUGAGCUUGCAGCCAACCAAGACGUUGCCAGAUUGUGUGAAAAUGAGAUCUUCGUCUCUUGCAAGCCCAUAUGCUUCAAUUUAUUCAGUCAAGUUGACAACGCUGCAUUGUAUAAGUUACAUUAAGUAAGGGUGCAAGAGUGGAGAAGCUAAGGGUGUUGCGAGGCGAAUGAUGAAGCUUCAUCAUUGAAAAUGUUGCAUAUAUUUAAAUGGUGGCAAUUCACUAUUCGGCACUACAGUGUGCCAUACAAUUACAUACCCAGGUAGCACACCUACGUGUUUCCAACGUUGAAAUUUGGUUGUUGAGGUUGAAUAACCGUUAGCGGUUGAAUUUUUCAACGUUUUAAAUGCAACGUUGUUUUCAACGGUUGAUCUAUCGUUGGAAACACGUUGAAAACGAGCUUCCAAUUCCACCACUCACAGCGCUACAGUAGUCCUUACACAAAAACGGAUCUAUCAACGACGAUCGACUGAUCAACGCCAUUUCAUGUUUGAAUUCUCAUCACGUUGAUGAAAGCUGUGAACUCUUUUAGAAGAGUCUACCUAUUCCACUUUGACUUGAUUCUAUCAAAAAAUCUUGUGGGUCGACUGUGGGCAUUGAGACCCAAAUUGAAAAUGCUAUUAAGGAUUGGCUAAAAUAUGCGACAGUCAGAGUAUUUUCAGUGGAGAAAAAAACAAUCUAAUUUCGUCGGUAAUUAAAAAGUAUUAUGAAAUGAAA